rnacentral:tRNA from 3 species
GCGCCCGUAGCUCAGUGGAUAGAGCACUAGGCUUCGAACCUAGGUGUCGGGGGUUCAAAUCCCUCCGGGCGUGCCA